UACGGGGGGGGCAAGCGUUGUUCGGAAUUACGGGGCGUAAAGGGUUCGUAGGCGGCCAACUAAGUCAGACGUGAAAUCCCUCGGCUUAACCGGGGAACUGCGUCUGAUACUGGAUGGCUUGAGUUUGGGAGAGGGAUGCGGAAUUCCAGGUGUAGCGGUGAAAUGCGUAGAUAUCUGGAGGAACACCGGUGGCGAAGGCGGCAUCCUGGACCAACACUGACGCUGAGUGAGCGAAAGCCAGGGGAGCAAACAGG
rnacentral:rRNA from 1 species